GCAAGCCAAGACUGCACCAUUGCACUCCAGCCUGGGCAACCAGAGCGAAACUGUCUCAAAAAGGAAAAUAGCACUGGUGAAAUUAAAUUUUUUUAAAAAAUAAAAAGUAAAUACAUUAAGUACAGUACAUUGAAAAAUGGCUACCCAAAAAUAUCAAACCCUAAUCCCUGGAGAACUUGUAAAUAUUACUUUAUUUGGGAAAAGGGUCUCUGCAGAUGUAAUUAAGCAUUUAGAGAUGAGAUUAUAUUAUGAAUGGGUCCUAAAUGCCAUCACAAGUGCCCUUGUAAAAGAGAGACUAAGGAAGAUGGGAAGACAACCUGAAGAUGGCAGAGAGUUGUAGCCACAAGUCAAGUAAUGUUGACAGCUAUCAGGACCUAGAAUAGACAAGGGAUUCUCCCCAAAGCCUCCAGAAGAAAUAGUGCCAUGCCAACACCUUGGUUUUGGAAUUCUGGCCUCCAAAAUUGUGAGAUGAUGAAUUUCUGUUGUCUUAGCCACCCAAUUUGUUGUAAUCUGUUACAGCAACUCUAGGAAACAAAUGCAAGUUACUAUCUAUGUCUGAUGUCGGAGACACAGUCCCUGCAGUUACGGAUGUGGUUGUCCAGAAAUAUACUUCCUUAAUCCCUACUGCUCGCAAGAAGUGCUUGAUAGUCAAAGGGAAGAACUGGCUCUCCCAGAGGCUGCCUCUGUAGAAGCCUGGUCAGCCUAUUAUUUUUCUCAUUUCAGACAUUCUGAGUCUCGCUGCCACCCAGGAUGAAGUAAAGUGGAGCAAUCUUGAUUCACUGCAACCUCUACCUCCCAGGUUCAAGCCAUUGCCCUGCCUCAGACUUCCAAGUACCUGGGAUUACAGUCCAUCCACAAGAUCUCUGAAAAGAUCAGGUCCAAGCUUUGGCCCAGCACACACAUUCUAGAAACGUCUUGCCAGAGAAGCAGCCAUUCUCUGCUCAGGUUUUGGGGUACAUGUGAAGAACAUGCAAGAUUGUUGCACAGAAUUUGUGGCAAUUCUCAUAAAAUGAAACCUAACUCACCUAUUCUCAGUAUUCGACCAGCAAAACACCUCAGUUACCUGCGCACAUGAUCUAAUGCAAUGAAGCAUCUCCAAUGGGUUUUAUCUGGUGAGUACGCAGAGAUACAGAUCUUGUCUUAAAACCGGGUUUAGCUGUGGAACUAUUACAUUUUGGACCAAAUCAAUCUUUGCUGUGGGAGCUGUCCUGAACACUACAGGAUGUUUAGCAGCAUCCCUAGUUUCCACUUCCCAGAUCCUGUACCACUUCUUCCUCAAGCUGUGAUAACCAAAACUGUCUCCUGACAUUGCUCCACUGUCUCCAUGAGGAGCAAAAUCACUCCCUAUGGGAACCAGUGUCAAAAACCAUUUUAGAGGCAAACUAUAAACUAACUCCCCAAACUGUGAUGGUGGAAACAAUCUGUAACUUCCUAAUAAUACAGUAGCUGAUCACUACAUGAUGCUACUAAGUACUUGAAAGGUGGCUAAGUAUGAGGAGAAUUCUUAAUUUUAUUUCAUUUUAAUUUACUUAAGUCCUACAUAUACUAUAAGGACAAGACGCUUCAUCAUGGAAAACUGUGUAGGUAUCUGAUACUUUUGUUAAAAAAAUCAUAUGUGGUUGAUAGGCAAUAAAAACAGAGAAAUAGAACAUUAAUAUAUACAUUUUUAAAAUUUUGCCCACCUCAUUUCUACUCAUACCCCUGCUGAAUGACAUAUAAACUUCAUCCUAUGUUAUAUUUAAAAACUUGGUUUUUUUUGAGACACCAGAGUCCAGUUCUGUUGCCCGGGCUGGAGUGCAGUGGCACCAUCAUGGCUCACUGCAGACUGGAUCUCCUGGGCGCGCU